rnacentral:rRNA from 1 species
CAGCCGCCGCGGUAAUACGAAGGGGGCUAGCGUUGUUCGGAAUUACUGGGCGUAAAGCGCACGUAGGCGGAUAUUUAAGUCAGGGGUGAAAUCCCAGAGCUCAACUCUGGAACUGCCUUUGAUACUGGGUAUCUUGAGUAUGGAAGAGGUUAGUGGAAUUGCGAGUGUAGAGGUGAAAUUCGUAGAUAUUCGCAGGAACACCAGUGGCGAAAGCGGCUCACUGGACCAUUACUGACGCUGAGGCGCGAAAGCUAGGGGAGCAAACAGGAUUAGAUACCCGCGUAGUCCCUGUCUCUUAUAC